CUCUGGACUAGUCCGAUGAAUACAACGGCAUAAGAACUCAUGUGCUCUUGGCUAAAAGCAGAAAGGCUAUCUCUUUCAGCUUGUUACCAGAUUUCCCAUCAAACAACUCGGAUUUAUUGUAAACAGAAAUAGUUAACAAAUGAAAUCAGACACUUAAUAUUGCAACUGACAAACAAGCCUUGAUUUUAUGAUCAAACAUUCAAGUUACCCAAAAGAAUACAGGAGAGAGAGAUAGAGAGAGAGACCUGAGGACCACCAAGUUCAUGAACUCGAAUGGCUUUCACCAUCUUUGUUCGCGAUACUGCUUGAUUUCUGGGUACGAACUACUUUCCGGUCAAAAGUGUGAUUUCUUGGUAUUUAUCCCUUAAUAAUUAG
rnacentral:lncRNA from 1 species